GCAAUACUUUUCAAACCCAUUAAGUAAGAUCUUCUGUGCAGUUAUAUCGUAGUAAAACCUGUUUAAUUUGUUUAUAUUUUAAAUCUUUAUACUUGUGAGAAGUAAAGGCAUAGGAACAUAUUAUUGAAUUGUGUAAACCACAUUAUUACAAUGAGCCCAUAGAUUACAAUCCUUUUACAGUAAGACAAUAUAUACUGAGCUUCUUACAAAUUUAACUAAUACGAGGAUUAAUGAGGGACUAGGCGAA
rnacentral:misc_RNA from 1 species